AAAGCCUCUACUCAGCUGUAUUUUUGUUACUAAUUUAUGUUUGUUGUUGUUUAACACAGAUUUCAGAAGAGCAAAGAUGAGCACUGUUGCUUAAUCCUUAAUAGUUUAACUGGAUUGGAAAUCAAAAAAAUCCAGAUUCUUCUUCCACAGAAGUUUCAUUUGUCAGUGUGGGACUGCUGAGUCACCUGAAGAACUCAUUUCAGUCUCCACAUGAUGUUCAUUUACAGAAAUGUUUCACAGGAACUGAUUCCUCCCAAAAGGUACAGUACGUGAUAUUAAGGGCAGGCGGUCAUCACUGGGGGAAGACAAGAAGCAGACGUACUUCCAAGAGGGAGCUGCAGUGAGGACACAGCCUGGUCACUGAGGUCAGAGGAGGCGCUGAAAGGUUUCCCUAAUAGUUCCUGGUGAAUCAAAGCAGAACCAUAAAGGUUGCUGGACUGCAUCGUGGCCUUACCCCUGAGCAGUCAUCCUGUUAAAGGAGGAACCAGUUAGAAGCUGUUUUCAAAGCAGAUUUCAUCUCGACAGACAAAGCCGAUGGCAGAAGAUGUUUGGAGAAGAACUUCAGGCCGUGUACUGACAAGAUCAAAGCAGCUCGUGCUCUGUCUGC